GAAGAUUUAGGUUGGUGCAAAAGUAAUUGUAGCUUUUGCCAUUAAAAGUAAUUGCAAAAACUGCAAUUACUUUUGCACCAGUCUAAUAGAA
rnacentral:miRNA from 10 species